rnacentral:rRNA from 1 species
AGAGUUUGAUCCUGGCUCAGGACGAACGCUGGCGGCGUGCUUAACACAUGCAAGUCGAGCGAGGCCCACCUUUCGGGGUGGUGCCCUGGCGGCGAACGGGUGAGUAACACGUGGGCAACCUGCCCUCAGCUCUGGGAUAACUCCAAGAAAUUGGGGCUAAUACUGGAUAUGACCGCUGACCGCAUGGUCUGGUGGUGGAAAGAUUUAUCGGCUGGGGAUGGGCCCGCGGCCUAUCAGCUUGUUGGUGGGGUAGUGGCCUACCAAGGCGACGACGGGUAGCCGGCCUGAGAGGGUGACCGGCCACACUGGGACUGAGACACGGCCCAGACUCCUACGGGAGGCAGCAGUGGGGAAUAUUGCGCAAUGGGCGAAAGCCUGACGCAGCGACGCCGCGUGGGGGAUGACGGCCUUCGGGUUGUAAACCUCUUUCAGCAGGGACGAAGCGGAAGUGACGGUACCUGCAGAAGAAGCACCGGCCAACUACGUGCCAGCAGCCGCGGUAAUACGUAGGGUGCAAGCGUUGUCCGGAAUUAUUGGGCGUAAAGAGCUCGUAGGCGGUUUGUUGCGUCGGCUGUGAAAACCUGAGGCUCAACCUCAGGCCUGCAGUCGAUACGAGCAGACUAGAGUGUUGCAGGGGAGACUGGAAUUCCUGGUGUAGCGGUGAAAUGCGCAGAUAUCAGGAGGAACACCGGUGGCGAAGGCGGGUCUCUGGGCAACAACUGACGCUGAGGAGCGAAAGCGUGGGGAGCGAACAGGAUUAGAUACCCUAGUAGUCC